AAAAGAAUUAGUACUAACCUUACUGUUAAUUUUAGCUAAACAUAUACAUGCAGUAUCCGCGCACCAGUGAUAAAUGCCCUCAGCGUCUACCCCCGCAGACCUAAGGAGCAGGUAUCAGGCGCACUAGAUCGUAGCCCAAGACGCCUUGCUCAGCCACACCCCCACGGGUAUUCAGCAGUAAUUGAUAUUAAGCAAUAAGUGCAAACUUGACUUAGUUAUAGCGACCGCNGGGUCGGUAAAUCUUGUGCCAGCCACCGCGGUCACACAAGAGACCCGAACUAACAGUAAUCGGCGUAAAGUGUGGUAACAUGUUAUCCAGCUAGCUAAGACCAAAAUGCAACUAAGCUGUCAUAAGCUAACGAUGCACCUAAAACCCCCAUAAAGAUGGUCUUAGUACCCACGAUCAAUUUAAGCCCACGAAAGCUAAGGCACAAACUGGGAUUAGAUACCCCACUAUGCUUAGCCCUAAAUCCCGAUACUUACCCCACCCAAGUAUCCGCCCGAGAACUACGAGCACAAACGCUUAAAACUCUAAGGACUUGGCGGUGCCUAAACCCACCUAGAGGAGCCUGUUCUAUAAUCGAUAACCCACGAUACACCCGACCAUCUCUUGCCCAUGCAGCCUACAUACCGCCGUCCCCAGCCCGCCUUAAAUGAGAGAACAACAGCAAGCAUAAUAGCUACCCGCUAGCAAGACAGGUCAAGGUAUAGCAUAUGAGAUGGAAGAAAUGGGCUACAUUUUCUAGUCUAGAACAGCCACGAAAGAGGGCAUGAAACACCCUCCGAAGGCGGAUUUAGCAGUAAAGUGGGAUCAGAAAGCCCACUUUAAGCCGGCCCUAGGGCACGUACAUACCGCCCGUCACCCUCCUCACAAGCUACCCUACUAAAUAAAUAAUACUACUAUUAGCUAAAGAUGAGGCAAGUCGUAACAAGGUAAGUGUACCGGAAGGUGCACUUAGCACAC
rnacentral:ncRNA from 1 species